GAGUUUGAUCUUGGCUCAGAUUGAACGCUGGCGGCAGGCCUAACACAUGCAAGUCGAGCGGAUGACGGGAGCUUGCUCCUUGAUUCAGCGGCGGACGGGUGAGUAAUGCCUAGGAAUCUGCCUGGUAGUGGGGGACAACGUUUCGAAAGGAACGCUAAUACCGCAUACGUCCUACGGGAGAAAGCAGGGGACCUUCGGGCCUUGCGCUAUCAGAUGAGCCUAGGUCGGAUUAGCUAGUUGGUGGGGUAAUGGCUCACCAAGGCGACGAUCCGUAACUGGUCUGAGAGGAUGAUCAGUCACACUGGAACUGAGACACGGUCCAGACUCCUACGGGAGGCAGCAGUGGGGAAUAUUGGACAAUGGGCGAAAGCCUGAUCCAGCCAUGCCGCGUGUGUGAAGAAGGUCUUCGGAUUGUAAAGCACUUUAAGUUGGGAGGAAGGGCAGUAAGUUAAUACCUUGCUGUUUUGACGUUACCGACAGAAUAAGCACCGGCUAACUCUGUGCCAGCCGCCGACCG
rnacentral:rRNA from 6 species